rnacentral:rRNA from 1 species
GACAGAGGUGCCAAGCGUUAGGCGGAAUCACUGGGCUUAAAGCGUGUGUAGGCGGAUCGUUAAGUACCUUGUGAAAUCCCACGGCUCAACCGUGGAACUGCUCGGUAUACUGGCGGUCUUGAGCCACCUAGGGGCAACUGGAACAAGCGGUGGAGCGGUGAAAUGCGUAGAUAUCGGAAGGAACAUCAGUGGCGAAGGCGACUUCCUGGACCAAUACUGACGCUCAGGUGCGAAAGCGUGGGGAGCAAACAGG